rnacentral:tRNA from 1 species
ACUUGGCUGGCUCAGUUUGUAGAGUGUGUGACUUGUGAUCUCGGGGUUGUGAGUUUGAGCCCCAUGCUGGGUG